AGUGAACGCUGGCGGUAGGCCUAACACAUGCAAGUCGAACGGCAGCACAGUAAGAGCUUGCUCUUACGGGUGGCGAGUGGCGGACGGGUGAGGAAUACAUCUGAAUCUACUUUUUCGUGGGGGAUAACUUAGGGAAACUUACGCUAAUACCGCAUACGACCUACGGGUGAAAGCAGGGGAUCUUCGGACCUUGCGCGAUUGAAUGAGCCGAUGUCGGAUUAGCUAGUUGGCGGGGUAAAGGCCCACCAAGGCGACGAUCCGUAGCUGGUCUGAGAGGAUGAUCAGCCACACUGGAACUGAGACACGGUCCAGACUCCUACGGGAGGCAGCAGUGGGGAAUAUUGGACAAUGGGCGCAAGCCUGAUCCAGCCAUACCGCGUGGGUGAAGAAGGCCUUCGGGUUGUAAAGCCCUUUUGUUGGGAAAGAAAAGCAGCAGGUUAAUACCCCGCUGUUCUGACGGUACCCAAAGAAUAAGCACCGGCUAACUUCGUG
rnacentral:rRNA from 1 species